UACGGGGGGGGCAAGCGUUGUUCGGAAUUACUGGGCGUAAAGGGCUCGUAGGCGGCCAACUAAGUCAGACGUGAAAUCCCCAGGCUCAACCUGGGAACUGCGUCUGAUACUGGAUGGCUUGAAUCCGGGAGAGGGAUGCAGAAUUCCAGGUGUAGCGGUGAAAUGCGUAGAUAUCUGGAGGAAUACCGGUGGCGAAGGCGGCUCGCUGGACCGGAACUGACGCUGAGGCGCGAAAGCGUGGGGAGCAAACAGG
rnacentral:rRNA from 1 species